AGUGGAAUUGUUGGAUCAUAUGGUAAUUUUGUGUUUAUUUUUUGAGGAACCACCAAACUGUUUUUCCAUGGAAGUUGUACCAUCUCACAUUCCUACCAACAAU
rnacentral:pre_miRNA from 1 species